rnacentral:tRNA from 2 species
AGAAAGAUAAUUAAAGUGAUAAUUUUUAAUUUGCAUUUAAAAUUUGGAGGUUCCUCUUUCUA